rfam:Biomphalaria glabrata isolate BB02 unplaced genomic scaffold LGTN_random_Scaffold191, whole genome shotgun sequence.
GUCUACGUAGCUCAGCUGGAUAGAGCAUAUGCCUUCUAAGCAUAUGGCCGGGAGUUCGAAUCUCUCCGUAGACG